rnacentral:rRNA from 1 species
UCAGGAAGAACGCUGGCGGCGUGCCUAACACAUGCAAGUCGAGCGGGGAUUAGUUGGGGGCUUGCUCCUGACUGAUCCUAGCGGCGGACGGGUGAGUAACGCGUGGGUAACCUACCCAUGAGAGGGGGAUAACCCCGGGAAACCGGGGCUAAUACCGCAUACCUUUACCCUGUCGCAUGGCGGGGUAAAGAAAGGUGGCCUCUGCCGUAAGGCAAGCUGCCGCUCAUGGAUGGGCCCGCGUCCGAUUAGCUAGUUGGUGGGGUAAUGGCCUACCAAGGCGACGAUCGGUAGCCGGCCUGAGAGGGUGACCGGCCACACUGGGACUGAGACACGGCCCAGACUCCUACGGGAGGCAGCAGUGGGGAAUCUUCCGCAAUGGGCGCAAGCCUGACGGAGCGACGCCGCGUGGGUGAGGAAGGCCUUCGGGUUGUAAAGCCCUGUCGGCGGGGACGAAGGCGCUGGGGUGAAUAGCCUUGGCGUUGACGGUACCUGCAGAGGAAGCCCCGGCUAACUACGUGCCAGCAGCCGCGGUAAUACGUAGGGGGCGAGCGUUGUCCGGAAUUACUGGG